GACGAACGCUGGCGGCGUGCCUAACACAUGCAAGUCGAGCGAUGAAGUUUCCUUCGGGAAAUGGAUUAGCGGCGGACGGGUGAGUAACACGUGGGUAACCUGCCUCAUAGUGGGGAAUAGCCUUUCGAAAGGAAGAUUAAUACCGCAUAAGAUUGUAGUUUCGCAUGAAACAGCAAUUAAAGGAGCAAUUCGCUAUGAGAUGGACCCGCGGCGCAUUAGCUAGUUGGUGAGGUAACGGCUCACCAAGGCCACGAUGCGUAGCCGACCUGAGAGGGUGAUCGGCCACAUUGGGACUGAGACACGGCCCAG
rnacentral:rRNA from 1 species